CCUACGGGUGGCAGCAGUGAGGAAUAUUGGUCAAUGGACGAGAGUCUGAACCAGCCAAGUAGCGUGAAGGAUGACUGCCCUAUGGGUUGUAAACUUCUUUUAUAUGGGAAUAAAAUGAUCCACGUGUGGGAUUUUGUAUGUACCAUAUGAAUAAGGAUCGGCUAACUCCGUGCCAGCAGCCGCGGUAAUACGGAGGAUCCGAGCGUUAUCCGGAUUUAUUGGGUUUAAAGGGAGCGUAGGUGGAUUGUUAAGUCAGUUGUGAAAGUUUGCGGCUCAACCGUAAAAUUGCAGUUGAAACUGGCAGUCUUGAGUACAGUAGAGGUGGGCGGAAUUCGUGGUGUAGCGGUGAAAUGCUUAGAUAUCACGAAGAACUCCGAUUGCGAAGGCAGUUCACUGGACUGCAACUGACACUGAGGCUCGAAAGUGUGGGUAUCAAACAGGAUUAGAUACCCGAGUAGUC
rnacentral:rRNA from 1 species